AGAGUUUGAUCUGGCUCAGAUUGAACGCUGGCGGCAUGCCUAACACAUGCAAGUCGAACGGCAGCACGGGAGCUUGCUCCUGGUGGCGAGUGGCGGACGGGUGAGUAAUACAUAGGAAUCUGCCCAUUUGUGGGGGACAACCUGGUGAAAACCAGGCUAAUACCGCAUAAGCCCUACGGGGGAAAGCGGGGGAUCUUCGGACCUCGCGCAGAUGGAGGAGCCUAUGUCUGAUUAGCUUGUUGGUGGGGUAACGGCUUACCAAGGCGACGAUCAGUAGCUGGUCUGAGAGGAUGAUCAGCCACACUGGGACUGAGACACGGCCCAGACUCCUACGGGAGGCAGCAGUGGGGAAUAUUGGACAAUGGGGGAAACCCUGAUCCAGCAAUGCCGCGUGUGUGAAGAAGGCCUUAGGGUUGUAAAGCACUUUCAGUAGUGAGGAAAAGCUCAAGGUUAAUACCCUUGGGCCCUGACGUUAACUACAGAAGAAGCACCGGCUAACUUCGUGCCAGCAGCCGCGGUAAUACGAAGGGUGCAAGCGUUAAUCGGAUUUACUGGGCGUAAAGCGCGCGUAGGCGGUUAGGUAAGUCGGAUGUGAAAGCCCCGGGCUCAACCUGGGAAUUGCAUUCGAUACUGCCUGGCUAGAGUAUGGUAGAGGGAAGUGGAAUUCCACAUGUAGCGGUGAAAUGCAUAGAUAUGUGGAGGAACACCAGUGGCGAAGGCGACUUCCUGGCCCAAUACUGACGCUGAGGUGCGAAAGCGUGGGGAGCAAACAGGAUUAGAUACCCCUGGUAGUCCACGCCGUAAACGAUGUCAACUA
rnacentral:rRNA from 1 species